rnacentral:rRNA from 1 species
AGAGUUUGAUCCUGGCUCAGGAUGAACGCUAGCUACAGGCUUAACACAUGCAAGUCGAGGGGAAACGACAUCGAAAGCUUGCUUUUGAUGGGCGUCGACCGGCGCACGGGUGAGUAACGCGUAUCCAACCUGCCCACCACUUGGGAAUAACCUUGCGAAAGUAAGACUAAUACCCAAUGACGUCUCUAGAAGACAUCUGAAGGAGAUUAAAGAUUUAUCGGUGAUGGAUGGGGAUGCGUCUGAUUAGCUUGUUGGCGGGGUAACGGCCCACCAAGGCGACGAUCAGUAGGGGUUCUGAGAGGAAGGUCCCCCACAUUGGAACUGAGACACGGUCCAAACUCCUACGGGAGGCAGCAGUGAGGAAUAUUGGUCAAUGGACGAGAGUCUGAACCAGCCAAGUAGCGUGCAGGAUGACGGCCCUAUGGGUUGUAAACUGCUUUUAUAAGGGAAUAAAGUGAGCCUCGUGAGGCUUUUUGCAUGUACCUUAUGAAUAAGGACCGGCUAAUUCCGUGCCAGCAGCCGCGGUAAUACGGAAGGUCCGGGCGUUAUCCGGAUUUAUUGGGUUUAAAGGGAGCGUAGGCCGGAGAUUAAGCGUGUUGUGAAAUGUAGACGCUCAACGUCUGCACUGCAGCGCGAACUGGUUUCCUUGAGUACGCACAAAGUGGGCGGAAUUCGUGGUGUAGCGGUGAAAUGCUUAGAUAUCACGAAGAACUCCGAUUGCGAAGGCAGCUCACUGGAGCGCAACUGACGCUGAAGCUCGAAAGUGCGGGUAUCGAACAGGAUUAGAUACCCUGGUAGUCCGCACGGUAAACGAUGGAUGCCCGCUGUUGGUCUGAAUAGGUCAGCGGCCAAGCGAAAGCAUUAAGCAUCCCACCUGGGGAGUACGCCGGCAACGGUGAAAC